GAUGAACGCUGGCGGCGUGCCUAAUACAUGCAAGUCGAGCGAACGGACGAGAAGCUUGCUUCUCUGAUGUUAGCGGCGGACGGGUGAGUAACACGUGGAUAACCUACCUAUAAGACUGGGAUAACUUCGGGAAACCGGAUCUAAUACCGGAUAAUAUUUUGAACCGCAUGGUUCAAAAGUGAAAGACGGUCUUGCUGUCACUUAUAGAUGGAUCCGCGCUGCAUUAGCUAGUUGGUAAGGUAACGGCUUACCAAGGCAACGAUGCAUAGCCGACCUGAGAGGGUGAUCGGCCACACCGGAACUGAGACACGGUCCAGACUCCUACGGGAGGCAGCAGUAGGGAAUCUUCCGCAAUGGGCGAAAGCCUGACGGAGCAACGCCGCGUGAGUGAUGAAGGUCUUCGGAUCGUAAAACUCUGUUAUUAGGGAAGAACAUAUGUGUAAGUAACUGUGCACAUCUUGACGGUACCUAAUCAGAAAGCCACGGCUAACUACGUG
rnacentral:rRNA from 1 species